AAAUAGCUGACCAGCCUACAGCAGAGGGGCCGAUGAUUGAGUGUAACGUCAGGCCUACAGACUGUAUAUCGUUCUUCGUGUUUUAAAACCUUCUCCUUGUCAGGAUGGACAUGUAAACUCGUCCAUUGGUGCAUUACAAACCAGUCAUACACAGAUGAAAGUGAAUAGUGAAAAAAUCAAAAAAAAUGAAAACUCUGGUAUACACGGGUUAAAAACUACAAUAUAGACCAAAGGAAAAGAAAAAGAUAGAGGAUCAAGAAAACGCUUUAUAAUAUAUGACAUUAAAUGAAUAACUCAUGCACGACUAAAUGUGCCACUUUAUUUGCUACUGUUCAUAUACUUUAGGAAAAUAUUUAUACCAUUAUACAUGUGCACAUGUGCAUAUAUCAAGUGAAUUUGUUUUGUUACAUCAGUUUCAGUCAUGUUGGAAAUUCAACAAAUUCCCCGCAGUGAGAAUUUUAAUCAAUUAAUUAUAACACUUAGUACUUUGUUGUCAAUUAACAGCCAAAAUCAUUUUUAUGCUGGCUUCUUUAGAAUUUAUAAAAUGAAUAACACUUUCGUAAAAAAAAAAGACCAACUUUCACCUCAUGCACGUUUACUUUUCUUAUGUCCAUU